GCCUGGGUGGCUCAGUUGGUUAAGCGUCUGACUUCAGCUCAGGUCAUGAUCUCACAGGUCACGGGUGCGAGUCCUGUGCUGGGCU
rnacentral:tRNA from 1 species